CCACCAGCCGUGCUGUUCUGGAUCAGGUCAACCUGAGUCGCAAUUCUGUUCGUCUCAGAAAGAAGUCCAAAGAGAUGGUAAAUAUUGAGUUUCACACGACGAGUAGCAAAUACAAGUUUCCAGUGUCGACCAAGGAGGCUGGAAACAUGGUCACUUUCAGAGGUUCAGACGGAUCCAGGUUUCAAGU